GAGCGCCGAAACUGCGCGUCGGGGUUGCUGAAAGCGCAACUGGAAAGUGAAGACACUCCCUACUGAGUUAUUUUUAUUCCUGUCCUUGCUUUUGGACUUUAAUCUGGUCCCAGAGCGCAACAGUGUAAGGCCAUUGGCCCAAAUACGGGUUUUGAAAAUGGGAACUUGGCGAAUAGUGCUCAACGCUUUCAUAUAUUUUUAUUUUUUGAAAAGGGUUUUACAUUUUUCAUUGUAAAAAUGUACACGGCUGAAUGCAAUUCGGAGAACAUGGAGAACAGUUUUCUCUUCACACCAGUUGGGAAGACUGAGGAUGAGAACACAGCUGCCAUGGGACAUUCGCUGACUCUUACCCUCUCCUCUAGAGGCGUAAUACCAAAUUUAAACAGAGUCUCGCACUGUGCCGUGUUGUCAGCCUAGCUCA